rnacentral:rRNA from 1 species
UACGGGGGGUGCGAGCGUUGUCCGGAUUCACUGGGCGUAAAGGGUGCGUAGGCGGUUGAAUCAGUCCGAUCUUCAAGCGCAGGGCUUACCCUUGCGAAGGGUCGGGGACGGUCUGACUGGGGCGCGGUCGAGGAAAGCGGAAUGCCGGGUGUAGUGGUGAAAUGCGUAGAGAUCCGGCGGAACACCGGUGGUGGAGGCGGCUUUCUGGGCCGUGGCUGACGCUGAGGCACGAGAGCGCGGGGAGCGAACC